AUUCUUUCAGCAUCUCCACUCUUCUCAUCAUUGCUUUCCUCUCAGCCUCCGCCCAUGCUGCCACUUUCGACAUCCGAAACAAUUGUCCCUACACAGUCUGGGCUGCAGCGGUACCUGGCGGUGGUCGAAGGCUAGACCGAGGCCAAACAUGGACCAUCAACGUGGCAGCCGGCACAGCCGGAGCUCGUAUCUGGGCUAGAACAAAUUGUAACUUCGAUGGAAACGGCCGUGGCAGCUGUCAGACCGGUGACUGCGGUGGAGUUCUUCAAUGCACUGCCUACGGUAGACCACCCAAUACUCUAGCAGAAUACGCACUGAACCAGUUCAAUAAUCUGGACUUCUUCGACAUUUCCCUUGUUGAUGGCUUCAAUGUGCCGAUGGAUUUCAGCCCUACAUCCAAUGGCUGCACCCGGGGCAUCAGGUGCACCGCCGACAUAAAUGGGCAGUGCCCAAGUGUGCUUAAAGCUCCAGGAGGUUGCAACAAUCCAUGCACUGUUUUCAAGACUGAUCAGUAUUGCUGCAACUCAGGCAGCUGCAGUGCGACUGACUAUUCCAGGUUCUUCAAGACUAGGUGCCCGGAUGCAUACAGCUAUCCGAAAGAUGACCAGACUAGCACAUUCACUUGCCGAGGAGGAACCAACUAUAGGGUUGUCUUUUGCCCAUGAAAAGAUCCUUAAAACGAAGACUUGCUUGAGACUAGUUAAAUAUUUAUACAUGCAUGGCACAAUAAUUUGCUGGACACAACACAUAAUGUCAUCUGCAAAUGCAAUAUUCAGUUCAAAUAAAAACUAUGAACUGAUAAUAAAGUUAAUAGCUACUGGAUGUUCGUGUUAUUUCUUACUCUAAUAACCUGUUUAAUAUUCAUUGAAUUAUUUCUUUUUCCUCGGUAGUUUCUUCCUCUCAAGUCGAAUGUGUGAGUUAUUCGAAAGAAAAAAUGGUUCAAUUUUUUUUUGAGGCAAAAAAAAAGGUUUAAUAUUUUAGUUGAAUAGAAAGAAUAUACAUAUAAAAUUUGAAGAAGAAGUGGAAAAUCGAAACGAUUUGAAACUAAUUCCCCCCAUAAGAGAAAUUGAUAGUCUUUUACAAGGAGCUAGAGAAAACAAGGGAUUCAAGUCCACACAAUUUUUUUUUUCACAGCAAUUGUUUUGUUGGCGCAGGAUUACCCUAGUAAAUUGCCUACAAAAAGAAUAUGGUCUAGCCUAUUUUCUUUCUCAAUUUUCAGUUUUAUUCUUACGCAAGACCCUAUAUCUAUCCUGCUCGGGGUGAUCGAAGGUGCGUUCAUCAAUAUGAAACUCUAUAGUGGUCUCUAUCUCACAAUUGCAAUAAAACAUUAUAAGCGACAAACUCUUCCUAAAAAUGGACAUCCCUUUCUCUUUAAUUUAUGUGUUUUUUUUGUGUGAACACGUUUCAAUGUACAGUUUUUUUAUGGCGGGUUCAAGAGAAGAUCCAAACCUUAUAAGAAAAAAGGAGAAAAGAAAAGGAUUUGAGAUUCGAACUAGAAACUUCAAAAUCAUCUUGUUAAUGUCUCUAGACCAACUAAAUUGGAUUUUCUGGACAUUCAAUGUAUAGUUUGAUCCAUUUAAAUAUGCAUAUUCAUUUGCAUUCACAUAUACCUUGAACAGAUAACAGGGCUUGAUUAGUAUAGUAUCUUCUUUUAAUUUGUGGUAACUGACCAUGCAUGUUAAUAUAUCCCACCCCUUUUGCCAACCAUUAUCUCAUAUGGGUCUAGGCAGAUGAAUAUGCAGUAUGAACUUGAUUCGGGAACAGUCGUUUCCUCAUCUGCUAGAUAAACUCUUUCCGCAUAUGGAUUCUUUCAUUAUCAAGAAAAAUUUUGUCGCAGCCAACACAGUAGGACAUAUCUGCAGCUUUGAUGCAACCAUUGAAAGAAGCCAUUCAAAGGUGACAACCACAAUUUAGUGUCUCGAGACUUUAAAGUCAAAGUCUUGGGAUUACCAACAGCUCAAAAGGCUAGCUGUUGGCACCAAACUGGUGAUUGCAAUGGUAUUAUUCAGUGCACCACCUAACACCCUAGCGGAAUACGCAGUAAAUCAAUUCAAUAACCUAGACAUCUUUGACAUUUCUCUUGUUAAUGGCUUCAACGUCCCACUGGAGUUUAGUCCUGCAUCCAAUAACUGCAGACUAGACAUUUACCUCCCCUGCAGCGAUGACCAGACUAGGACAUCUACCUUUUGCCGGUAAAAAUUUAAGUUAGAGCAAAGCAAGAGCUCUAUCGUUUCCAUAAAGAGGAUUUGCAAGUUACUGCAAAGUAUUCACGGGCUCCAUCACUCUGCUCGUCCUUUAACAUUUUGUUUUCAUUCUUUUUGAAGCAUUUCUUUGCCACGGUAUAUAUUUUCUUACUCGCAAGUUCGGAAUCUCAGUUUAGCGUUUGAAGAAAUACAAUAAAUGUAUAAGUAGUCCCAUUGCGUGAUCAAGAUGAGGGAUUAACAUUUAAUCGGUCCAAUUUCAAUCGAUUUUAUUCCUUUCCUUGAGGUUGUAGCUCUUGUAACCAAGUUAACUUGUGUAAAUAUCAAAUCUUGUAUUUUAAGGUCUCAUGAGUAAGAGGGUGCUGAUCGACAAGCAGUCCUAACAGCCAAUAUAUGUCCCUAAGUCCGGAUCACUUCAACGAAGCUCACUUAAAGUUGAAACAAUAUUCAUUUUCCUAGUCAGUCCUCCGAAUAUGCUAUCCAGAAAGUAUUCUGAAAACGUGCUUAGUUUGGGUGUAUAAUCUUGAGAAUUAGAUCAGUAUUUAAUAUGUCAAUCUGGCAACAUAAUAUUUCCUACUAAAUCGUCUUUCCUCGUUUUCUACUCAUCUAAUAUUUGUCUGGACUCAUCAAUGUGAAGUUUAAUAAACAAUACAAUAAUGUGAUUGUGGCUGCUUCUUCUUUAGCUAUACAAAGAAUUGUAAAAUCCCACUCAAAAGUUUAUAAUCACUAACAUGUUUUUGUAAGUACAAUUUUUAGAAUAAUAGAACACACCAACAAAAAUUGUGGAGAAUUUUAUACCUUUUGCUUCAUUUUCUCUUUGAGAGAGAUUUGUUUCCCACAUGUUCACAAGAGAUACUUCGAAGAGCAGAUUAAAGAUUUCAAUUGAAUCAAACGCUAGUCAUUAUAGCUAUUAUCCUCGGAAAUUAGUUAUACAGUGGUAGAAUUAAAAAUUAUUCCAGUUGAGGCACAAUAUAAAAUGAAAAUAGUUUAGUUCGACCAGUAGAAUUAGACAUUAAGAUCCACAUCCCAAAUAAUAUAUGUACUCACUAAAUAACACAAUAUGAAAGCAUUAACUUUUCAUAUUGGAAAUCUCUCUAGUAGACUAAACUUGUAUUUAAUAGAAUCGGGUUUGUACUUUUAGGCAUCGUCAAAGUAAUGGAUUGUGAUUUUGACUUGAUUUUUCUACAAAGAGUUAUCAUAAUAUAUGAGAUUCUUUUGGCGAAAAAAGAUGUCGUAUGUAAUCUGGUAAGAGCAGUUCUAAUGGUUUUCAUGCUUAUUGGAUCAUCUAAUUCAGGGAUCUACUAAUGGUCAUGUCAUGGUAACAUUAUGAUGUCAUUUGAUAUUUUAGUUGAUUGUUAUCUGACAAGAACUUUCCUUACUAUAGUUUGUCAGAGUAACUCUAAAGUCCAGAUACACUGGAAGGGAGCAGCUGAAAUGGUUUUAAACUCAUGUGCCUUGACAUGUUUGGCUGCUUGCACUCCAUAGGUUAGGAUAAAGACAGAUAAGCUUGCGUUCAUUAGUGGAAAACUGCUUAAGCAGAAACUAUGGCAUAGUUGGAAGCUAUUGGAGUCAAGAGAUUACAGGUAAGUUAUUUUUCUUUUGCUUUCUUUGAAGGGUAUUGAUUUCUACAAGACAGCAGGGAAAACAGGGCAACCAUACGACUACCUCUCUGAUAGCAAAUGUGGCAAGCAGGACGGAAGAUUAUCUAAUACGGAGGAGGAAUAUUUUUGAUCCUACAAAGAAACUGAAUGACAUGAAAAUAGAUAUGACUUAUCUGGAAUGGUACAAGAAGGUGUCGAUUGAGCUGGGAGGAUACUAUGAUAGUUACAAACUUGGAAAAGUAGGGAUGAAAUCAAAAGCAGACACGAAAUCAUGAAGCGCAAGAAAAUUCUUACUCGAUACUGGAGAGGCAUAGUUGAUGAAGCAGAGCAAAUGCCUCAAAAAUGAAGGGGUGGCUUUUUAGACUCGUUGUCUUUUUGCACAGGAACCAAUUACCGAAGAAUGGUUGAACCACUUGACACUAGAUAGACAAUAGAUGGUUUGGGUAGGAGAAGAAAGGUGUAGCCCAAAUAUUUACAUUGAGUGGAAAAAUCAAUUUCCACUAGUAUUGUUAUUAAGGAAUUUUUUUUCUUCGUAUAUACAAUUUCCUAAGAUUUUUAUUAAAGCUAAACAAUGGAAUGAAUUUUUCAAUUCCCUAUAAGAAGGAAUAUGUGAUUAUAAUUUGUAGAAAGUAAAGGUAGAGGAAAGAAAGACAAUAUUCCAAAGUUGGAAAAUAUUUUCAAAUGUUAAACAAACACCAGAAAAUGAAGUUAGAUAAUAUUUUCAAUAGGCUAACCAAACAUCCAAAAAUGAUAAAAAGGAAAUGAUUUUCCUGGAAAAAUACUUCAAUGAAAAAUAUUUUUUCAAGGAAAACAUUUUACUCCCAACCAAACGGACCCUAAGAUUCGCAUCCCAAAUAAUAGCAAGUAGAUCUGUACGUACUCACUAAAUAACACAAUAUGAAAGCAUUAACUUUUUCAUAUUGGAAAUCUCUCUGGUAGACUAAACUUGUAUUUAAUAGAAUUGGGUUUGUACUUUUAGGCAUCGUCGAAGUAAUGGAUUGUGAUUUUGACUUGAAUUUUCUACAAAGAGUUAUUAUAAACACAUAUACAUACAGAUAUAUAUGUUUGCAUACAGAUUUUUGGGGCCAAAAGAAAGCUUUUUUUUUUUUUUUUUUCUAAAUUGCAAGUUAAAUUUUAUUUUUCAUUGGGGGCACACAUAUAAACUUUUUGGGUGAAAACAAAAAAUUUCUUUGAAUUUUUGAUACUUAAAAUUUUAAUUUAUUUUCACCAGCAUAAACAAAACCAAAAAAUUUCCUUAAAAUAGGAGAGAGGGGUUUGGAGCGAAAAAAUCGUGUCAUUUAAUGUAUUAUCAAAUCUAUCCUUACUUCUAAAGAGAAUUACAUCAUUUUAACUCAUAUUUGUUGAAUUAGCUAUCACUUCCCUAACCGAAAAAUACCACUUUUUUUUUAAAAAAAUAAUACAACAAUUUAACUAUUUUAAAUUACUAUUUUUCAACAAAAAAAAUAAUACUAAUCAUUUUUUUAUAUCUUUUUAUUAGUAGUACACACAUUGGGUGUGCCGUAACCACAAGUAUUAAAUUAUUUGUAGAGACAAAAGGUCGAAUCUACAACAAAAAAAAAAAAAAAAAAACUUCUAAAGAGAAAAAUGAAGCAAUUUUCCACAAUUUGGGACGGCGGCCCCUCCCCACCAAUGCCACCCUAUAGUUCCGUCCAUGCCCACUGACUGACUUACUUGUAGAUCCUCCUCCCAUGUAGUUAUGAUCAGCAGAUUUUUCUGAAUACUUUUUUAUUCUAUGUUUUCCGCAGUCAGUGACCUAUCGAAGAAAAUUCUACUCUACUCUACGCGGCAAAGAAAGGCAGCUGCUACUUUCAAGCGGCGCUGAGGUGAGGACCGUUGUGAUAGCUCGAAAUGUAAAAUCUGCAAUUUUUCUUCCGCUCGAAAUCUCCUGAAGUCUUCUUCGUCCCUUUUCUUUUAGCUGCAGCUUUCAUUGCCAGAAAACAAGUGACUGACGUGCCAGCCCUGGAAUUCUUAUCCACAUGAUAAGGAGAGUAUAUACGAACAAAUUAGUCAAAUAUGUGGCUAAUUCCAGAGUCUUUCGACCUAAUUCGGCCAAACCCUUGGAAUUCCAGUGGACAAGAUCAUGUGCAAGGUGUCCUUUUCUUUUCAUCUUUUUUGUUUUAUCUUUGCUCUUCUUCGAAGGUGGUUGGGCUCGCGGGACAAGGGCCGGCUUGUGCCAUCAAUGCUUGAGAGUACGUAAGAUUAGCUCUCCUUUGUGUUUUUUGACUUUUUCUCGUUGGAAAAUUUUUAUAGCUUGGACAUGUUAUUUUUAAUGUUUUUGCAGAUUUGUUGCUCUAUUUUUUUUUUUUUUUUGAGUUUCUAGACCCUUUUAUUUAAUUAGUUACGUGUUUGAUUCUUUAAACUACAUCGCGCUUGAAACUUGUAGAAACACCUCAUUCAACAAUUAAUUAAAGAAACAAUAGAAUUAUUGAAAAUGGAUUAGUCUUAGCUUAGAGAGAUGGAUUAGUAAUUAUUGAAAGUCAAGAUGGAUUAGUCUUAGCUUAGAGAGAACUAGAUUGCCAAUAGAAUUCCCUUACCGCCACGGGGCUUGUUUUGACACUUCGUAUCCACUUCCUUUAGAUUAAUAAUUACAAAAUAAGAUGAUAAUAAUAUCAUUGGUUAUGUAACUCAUCAUUUUCUCAAGAAUUGAGUAACACAUGCACUAAAAUAGAUUUUUAAAACUUCUUUCCAACACGAGAAGAGUGGAUUUACAUAAUUUAUUAUUCACAAGGGGAAGGAUAUUUUUUCUACACAUAGAAUAAAAAUUUGUCACAAAAUAAAAAAUAAAAAAUUUACACCUAUAAUUAAUGCACGACAAAGUCAGUCCAUCAAAAGGAGCAAAACUUUUGGAUUACCACCUUACAAAAGUUUUCUCUCAUUCUGUGAAAGGUCUCAAGCUCAUAUUCCAUUUGUGUCAUAAUCAAAUUCUGUUUUUUUUUUCUAGUUUCUCCUCCAUUUUACACUGGCAGUUUUAUUGAUACUUAAACCACGAAAGAAGAAAAAGAGGGAACAUAGAAAACAGUCCAGAUAUUGAUAUAUACCAGGCCAAAGUAGAGAAGAUAGUAACUUAAUUUAUCAUCUUCAUCAUUUGACUGUUCCAACAAUCCUUGUUCCACGACUGACAAUCCUUCAUCAUUUGCAAGGUUCAACAAUUUACGCCCCAGCAUUGUCAUUGUCCCAUUCAUAUAUAUGAAUCUAUUUUCCUCAUUGGAAUACUUUUGAUCGUAUUAGAAUACGUUUUUGUAGACCAAAUCAAGCAGAAAUUACUGAACGAACGAAGCUUAAUUAAUCCGUGAUGCAACACGAGCAUAUUCUACAGAAAACUAUAGAAUAUCCAAUCUCAAAUAUGUCAAGGCAAUAAAUUAGAAAGAUUAGUUUUUAUUUGAAUCUUUAAUAGCAAAUCCUAAUCAAGAAAGGGAGAUUUGUAGAAAGAGAAGUGGUAAAUGCAAUCUAAAGUUUUUUUUUUUUUUUUUUUUAAAAAUUGCAAAUAAACAUAAACAUGGCCCGUUCCCAUGGGAACCAUACUACUAAAGAAACAAAUAUAUAGUGCGUUUUACCAUGGCAUUCUUUGUUGAAAAAUUCUACUAAUCCACAAUGGGCGGCAUGAAAGGUGAGUACGCGUCGUUGCAAUAAGUACCGCUUAUUCCAAUCGCAGAAAAUAGAGAAUUACUCUAAAGCAAAAGACCAAAAUAGAUGUAAAUAGUGAAGAUGGAUUGUUAUCUUCUCUCUCAUUGCGUGGGCACUAUAAGCAUAGUCUGAUUGAUAAAAUGUUUUAUUUGUAAUCAAUAUUGUGGGUCACGAAUUCGAGCCAUUAAGGAGUAAGUGAAUGAAAAACUAUUAUUGAUCCUCCUAAAUAUUAGAAAAAAAAAGUAGCAAUUCAUAAAACCAUAUCUCCUAAAAAUAAAAUUCUAAAGGAUUGAUUCUGGAGUUCUUCACAAAAAUAUUUAACUUGCCACUUGAAACUCAGUAAAGCACUUUUUUUUUUUUUUGUUUUUUUGUUUUGGGUAAGUGGAAUGUCAGUAAAGCGCCAAAUUGUAUUCUAAAAUGCAUAAUAAUUCCCUCUUGCUCAACAGAGGCUAAUGGAUUGAAAUAUUGAUGCUUCCCAAAAUUAGCCGUCAAAUGUGGUUCUUGACUUGGGUGGUACAAUUGUAUGCCCGUCGCUCCAACAUGGCGCGACGGGCAGCAAAAAUUUUUUUUAAAAGUUCUUCUGGCCGUCGCGUCAUGUUGGAGCGACGGUCAGAGGUGUCAGAAAUUUCUGACCGUCGCUCCAACAUGGCGCGACGGUCAGAAAUGUUUUUUUUUUUUUUUAAAUCCUCCUCCUUAUUUUGAAAAAACAAAUUUUCUCAAGCAUCUAUAACCUUUGACCGUGGCUUUAUUGAUAGCUUUUUUCACGUGAAACCUUUCCGUGAAACCUGUGUAAGUUGCCAUUCGUUCAUCAUUGUUAGGUUGAUGCAUGCAAUAAACAGACAAAUGGAGUCGAUUAUUGAUUGUCCUCAUUUAGUAUGGCCUCUCCUCUCCUUGUAGACAUGUUCUGCAGGACAUCUGCCAGACGUAUACAAAAUUUAUUGAGCAGAAACCUGCAGCCUUUGACCGCUUGGGACUGCAGCUUUAUUUUUUUGGCUUGUUUUGUGUCAGGAACAGGCGUAGACAGCUUUUGUUUUAUUUUUCAAUGACACUUUAGUCACUUCAACAUGGAGCAACGGGCUAGAGAAAUGCACAAUUCCUUCGCUUAUAAAUUGUUCUUCAGAGCAACUCCCAAUUCCAUUUCCAUAAGCACAACUUCAGUCGUAUCUUUUUUUUGCCGAGACUUUCGUUUCUCCCUCUUCCCUCUAAUCAUAAACGGAGCUCCGCAUCUCCAUUUCUCAUGUCGGUAAAGCCUCUGCAUUCUGUUCAAGCUUGGGUGUGUGAAGUGAAAUAAAUAUUGUUUGAAGUUACAAACAAUAUUUGGACGGAGACAGAGAUCCUUGAAACUUAGCUACAUUCGGAAGGAAUUCUGAAGGAGCUCCUCCAGUGAAGUCUGAAGCUAUAAUAUUUGAACGGAGAUAGAGAGCUUGGGGUUCGGUCAGUAGAGGGCCUUUGAUUUGAACAGUCGUGUUUGCAAGUCUCGACAGGCGAAAUUCUCGCAGAAACUCCAUCAUUGACUAGGGAAAAACAACAAUAAUCAAGUAAGUAAAAUACUUAUCAACUUUUUUAAUUAUUAUUCAUAAAUAUUGUUUACUAUAAUUUGGAACAUAUCAUUCAUGAUUAUUAAUUGUAUAAUAUUGUUUGUUAUGUUUUAAUGUGAAUUCUAUUUUUGUGUUAUAUUAUAUAUUAUUUGUGAAAUCUAAAUAUGACAUGACAUUGUUUAUAUUUUAUUUCGUAUUAGUGUUUUUUAAUUGAUAUGGUAAAUUAGAGUAUUUUUUUGUUGUAGCAUGGUGAUUAGUUGAAAUUAAUGAAUGUAGUAUUAAUGAAUUGUAUAAUACUAGGUAUGUGGAAGAAUAUGUGAUAACCCAGUAGAGUAGUUAGUUAGUGAUUAGUUUAAUUAAUUAGUAAGGUAAAUUAUUUGAUUAGAUAUUAAUUAACCAUAUCACUAGUCAUCCUAUUAAAAAGGAUAAAUUUAAGUGUUGUUACCAAUUAAUAUACUUUAAACACAUGAUUAAAGUUAACAAUAAAUUAAUAUAGUUUUAUCACGUGAUUAAUACUUUAAACAAUAGGUGCAGACAUAUGGAUAUGUUAAUAGAUGCUAUUAAUUUUUUUAAUAUUACAUGUAUAUCGAAUUAAAGGUAAUUAGUGUAGAUAUUUUACAAAACUAUUUAUAGUUACAAAUAUAUCUUAAUAUUUUAAAUUAUUUGGAGAGAAAUUUUUUAUGAUUAAUUUAUCAAUAAACUUUUAGACUCCAUAUUAGUGUUGUAGCAUGUUAAAUACAUGCUGUUGAACUGGUUCGUAAUACAAAUAUAUUAAUUAGUUUUAAACGUAAUUAACUUAACAUAAAUAUGUUAAUUAGGGUUGAACUUAACAUAGAUAUAUCACUCGACUGCUUACGUAAUUUAAAUAAAAAUACAAAAAGUUGUAAAUUCUAUGCACUGAUUAGGUAUAAUAAUUAUGUUAAAAUAAUAUUAAAUUAUAUAAUUUACUCCAUUUUUAUUAUAUAAUUUACUCCAUAUAUUAUAUUAACGUCUUUAGUAGAUUAGGUGAAACAUGUCAAGCGGUAAUUGUCUGAUGAUGCAAUUCUAUUGGGGAGGAAAAAUUGUGUAUGCUGGCGGGUCAAUAUCAUAUGAUCCACCGUUGCCCAAAAAGGUCAUGUUCCUCACAGAAAGGGUGAAUUUUGAUGGAUUGGUGGACAUUGUAUAUAAUAUGAUGGAGUUAAACCGAAAUACUCAUAAAAUUAACUUGAUAUUUCGAAAUUGCAUGCAAAAUGGUGUGUUCGGUGCCACGCCCUUGGUAGAUGAUAAUGGAGUUGAUGGAAUGUAUUUUUUGAAAGCUAAUAGUGGUCAUGGGACAGAGAUAUAUAUCGAGGUUGAAUCGAUUCUAAAUUUCAAACAUGAUGAUAUGCAAAAUUUGCAUAUUACAAGUUUGCAUGGUAAUCAAGACCCAAGCAUAUAUGGAUCGGAACAUAUGGAUGUGGUGGGGACAAUUGGCUUAUAUGAGAGUCAAUUGACCCAAGUAGAUUGUGAAAAUGUUCGAUCGGCUCGAAGAUCUAGGAGAAAGGGUAAUAGACGCCGCUACAUCUGGGGGUUCCUUAGAUGCAGACUUUAGCCAAAUAAAUGAUUUGCUUGGUGCCACGGGAGGUGGUUCUACUACUGUAGAUCUUCCGGAUUAUAGCACUCUUGGUCAGACUAUGUUCAUGCCUACUCAUACCCAACCAAUGGGCAUGUCAGGACACACUGUUCCAGGAAAUUUUAACGACUAUCGUUCCAAAGACACUGAUGACAGUGAUGGGACAGCUGAGUCGACAGGCGAGGAUACCCUUGUCUCUGAUAACGCAGAUGAAGAUUAUGGCCCAUCUACUGCUGUUCCACAAGUUCCUGCUCUAGUUAUCGGAGAUCGAGUGCAACGUAAUCGUCAGAGAAGGCCUGCUACUAGAUAUUGUUGUCCCCCGACGAUAUCUCAGGAGAAGGAUAAGGGCAAGGCUAAGGGCAAGGCUAAAGGUAAAGGCAAGAAAACUGCGAGGCAUUGAUAUUAUUUUGUCUUCGACGAUAUUUUAUAUCUCAUCCAUUUAAUUUAAUGCAUUUCACAUGACAUUUAAUUUAAUUUUGUUGUCUACUUUUUCUGUUUAAUCCAAUCACUUUUAAUUUGAAUAACGUUAAACAUUUUUAAAAUAAAGAAGUACAAGUUAUUUUAUUAAACCCUAUAAUUGGAUAGAAGGGUCCCUAUACGAUAAUACCUACAAAACAAAUAAAUACUAGUCGUUUUAUAGCUAUUUUAAUACAUUAAAUUAUUAAAACUAAUUAUCGUAUAUCAAAUAAUGAAACGCAAAAAAUUCUUCAUUUCUACAAAUAUGUUAUUAAUAUUUUUAUACCAUUACAUUUUAUAUGAAAAUUCAAAUAUAUAAAUCGUAAUUCAUAAAAUAAUUUUUCAUUUUUUUAUACAAUUACGGUUCCUUUAACAUUCUGUGUGCAUGAUACAUAAUAAAGUUAAAAUUAACAAAUCAUAAUAAUAUUAAGCAAUACUUUCAUCCAUUACGCAAUCACUUCAAUUUAAAUCAUAUUAUUAAAUUAUUUUUUAAAUUUAACAAAUCAUAACAGUUACGCAUGUUACAUAACUUAAACUUGAUAAAAUGGUAAACAUUAAUUCUUUAAGAAUUCCCUAAAUCCUUUAACAAAUGAAUCAAAAUUUUUAAAUCUAAUCUCCUUUAAAAUACUUGUUUUUAAAAUUUUGUCAAACUAAAUGCAUUGUUUUAAAACUUUUCAUUUUAAAUAAUUUUUACAAAAAAUUUUUUGAGAAAUUUCCAAAUGAAUUGGACAAAGAUUUAAAAAAAACAUUUCUAAAUCACUGAGUUGAAGGAUUUUUUAUUAAAACAAAUUCUAAGUUAUCUGUAAUGUAAACCCUAACCCUAACCCUUACCGUAAGUGUAACCCUAACAAAAAAUUUUCUUUUUUCACUGAGGAAGAGGAUUUUUUUAAAAAAAAAACAUUUCUGACCGUCGCGCCAUGUUGGACCGACGGUCAGAGGAUUUUAAAAAAAAAAUAAAUUUCUGGCCGUCGCGCCAUGUUGGAGCGACGGUCAGAAAUUUCUGACACCUCUGACCGUCGCUCCAACAUGGCGCGACGGCCAGAAGAACUUUAAAAAAAAAAAAUUUUGCUGCCCGUCGCGCCAUGUUGGAGCGACGGGCAUACAAUUGUACCACCCAAGUCAAGAACCACAUUUGACGGCUAAUUUUGGGAAGCAUCAAUAUUUCAAUCAAUUAGCCCUCAACAGAAAGAAAAUUAAAAAAAUAAAUCUUUUUUUCUGGGCCAUCUUCUGGAAACGUGGUCACAGAAUGGGCCCCAAGUCUUUCAAUGCUAGCUUUUCUGCCCGUCCCCAAGUAAGAACUAAGAAGUGGCUGCCCUGACUUGAAUUUUCUUCUCCAAGACUGCAAGUGCUUAGUCAAUCUAUCCACCCAUUCAGUAUACUGGAAAUAAUACCAUUUCAAAUUGUCCAAUGACAUUAGGAUAGACACUUUGGCCUGACUUUCCCACUAGUCCCGUAUGCCCACAAAUCCUAUAAAUACCCACCCAUUCUCUUAAGCCUCAUUCAUACAAGCACAACUUUCUCCAUUCCUUAACCAUGAAAACCUUCAAUUCUUUCGCCUUUUCCACUCUUCUCAUUGCUGCCCUCCUCUCAGCCUCCGCCCAUGCAGCCACUUUCGACAUCCGAAACAAUUGUCCCUACACAGUCUGGGCUGCAGCGGUCCCCGGCGGUGGCCAGAGGCUAGAUAAUGGCCAAACAUGGACCAUCAACGUGGCAGCCGGCACAACCGGAGGUCGCGUUUGGGGUCGGACAAACUGCAACUUUGAUGGCAGUGGCCACGGCAGCUGUCAGACCGGUGACUGUGGUGGACUUCUUCAGUGCACUGCCUACGGUGCACCACCAAAUACUCUAGCAGAAUUUGCAUUGAACCAGUUCAGUAACCUGGACUUCUUCGACAUUUCCCUUGUUGAUGGCUUCAAUGUGCCGAUGGAUUUCAGCCCUACAUCCAAUGGCUGCACCCGGGGCAUCAGCUGCACAGCCGACAUAAAUGGGCAGUGCCCAAGUGUGCUUAAAGCUCCAGGAGGUUGCAACAAUCCAUGCACUGUUUUCAAGACUGAUCAGUACUGCUGCAACUCAGGCAGCUGCAGUCCGACUGACUAUUCCAAGUUCUUCAAGGAUAGGUGCCCAGAUGCAUACAGCUACCCGAAAGAUGACCAGACUAGCACUUUCACGUGCCCUGCAGGAACCAACUAUAGGGUUGUCUUUUGCCCUUAGGCCAAUACCAAGGAUCCUAAAAAUUCUCUCGUUGCUUCCGACAUAGUCAAAUAUAGUGCCAGAUGCUAAAUAACAUGUUGCAACAGCACAUGUAGUGAUGUGCAAAUGCAUCUUUCUUUUAAGUUCAAACAAAUAUACAGUUGUAUUGAGAUUGGGUUUAAGGAAUAGUUAUCAAUGCACGUUGAUGAAUAAAACUUAACUAUCCCUUAUAGUAAUAUAGCUGAAUGCAUGAUCUCUUCCUACGUAAUUUGGGCCAAACCCUUGGAUUUCUACAAGCAUGACGGUGCAACGAUGUUAUUCACUCCUCUUCCUUCUUCCUUUUUCUUUUCUUUCACCUCCGAGAAGUUGCAUGGGAAGGCUAAGUCCGCAUGUAAUAUUGUACGUAAUUGGUUUUUUUUUUUUUUCUUUUGGGAAUCCUAAAAAAAAAAACCUUUGCAUCCCAAGAAAAGAAAUUCUACCAUCCAUUAUAUCUUUGUUACCCAAAAAAAAAAGGGGGGGGGGGGGCAGCCUUUGGCAUUUAGAAGUCCAUUUGAUACCUUUUUCGCUUAAACAAGGAUAUCGUCUAAAGGUAAUCAAAUUCGAUGGCUAUCCUUCUCUUUUUUAAUUUUUUUUAAAAAUUUUAAAAGAGACUUCAAAUCUUCUUCAAUGGAAAAUGAAGAAAACAAGAAAGGGGAAGAUUGGAGUUAGCAAGGCGCAUUAAUUUGUGCCUACAUUAAUUAAUUUGUUAAUGACCGUGUUGGGUCUUGGGACAUUUCUUUUAAGUAUUUUCUUUUGCUGCUCCUAAGAUCUCGACCAAAAAAAAAAAAAAAAAAAAUAUAUAUAUAUAUAUAUAUAUAUACGUUUUAUGCUAUUGACACACACAAAUCCGGUCCAAGACCGUUUAAUCCAGUUAGAUGCUCCUCACAGUUAAUGCGAGGACCGGUUGGCUACUGGGCCUAAAUGUCCACCAAGUCUCAAUUAAUGACUUUCUGCCAUCAGCGACGCUGACGACCAACUCGUGUGCUAAUUUUUGGACUCAAUUCCUGUAUUGGGUUUGUUUGUUUAGAUCCACAAUACGUAACAAUUAUUUCAGAAACAUUCUAGACUUUUCUUCCUAUGGUUUUUUGAUGUUACGUCACAUGAGGACUUUUCUCAGUCAAUCAUUCUAGUCUGCAACUCCAUGGAAGCAGCUGAAUGGGGGACAUCUAAUCUUCCUAAAUUCUACCAGGAAAAUACUAUAGUAGUAAUUACUACGUAGUAGUAAUAACACAAAAGUCAAGAAAACUGCAUCCUCCCUCCCUCUCCAUGGUUGAUUAUUGCCAUGAGAUUCCUCAACUUUCUCCUUAUUUCUACGGUUCUAACAAUCACCCUCCUCACAACCUCCACUCAGGCGGCCACUUUUGAGAUCCAAAACAACUGUGCCUACACGGUUUGGGCUGCUGCCACUCCCGGCGGCGGCCGGAGGCUUACUACUGGCCAAACAUGGACUGUCAACGUGGCAGCAACCACCGCAGGUCAAACUGGUCGUAUAUGGGCUAGAACCAACUGUACCUUCAACUCAAACGGCACCGGCAGCUGUCAAACGGGUGACUGCGGGGGACUUCUUAGGUGCGCAGUCGACGGUGUUCAUGCACCCCCAGUUACUCUAGCUGAAUACUCGUUGAACGGGUUUAAUAACCAAGACUUCCUCGACAUCUCCCUUCUUUAUGGCUUCAAUGUGCCAAUGGAGUUCAGUCGUCCAUCCAUUGGCUGCACCGGCGGCAUCAGGUGCGCCGCCGACAUAAAAGGACAGUGCCCGCCUAAGCUUAGAGCUCCCGGCGGUUGCAACAAUCCUUGUACCGUAUUCAAUACUGGUGGAUACUGUUGCACCUCUAGCCUCACAUGUGAACGGACCUACCUCGCCAGAUUUUUUAAGGAUAUGUGCCCAAAUGCAUUGAGUUACCCAACAGAUGACCAGAGUAGUAUAUAUACUUGCCCUGCAGGCGGCACCUAUGGGGUAGUCUUUUGCCCUUAGUAGAGCCGAACUACUUAGAGGCACUUGUAAGUCGUUAAGUACCAACACUCUGUAAUAGUUCAAUCAAGUGUUUAUCAUCAUCAGGAGAUUUUAGUGCCCUUCAUUCGAAUAUGGUGUGCUCAAAUUAAAUGAUAUAGCACUUUCACUUGCCCUGAAGGAACCAACUAUAGGGUUGUCUCUUGCCCUUAGACCAAUACCAAAGAUCCAAGUAAAAAUUCUUGCUACACAGUCAAAUAUGGUAUCGCAUGGGUUUGUUUGAACAGAGGAUUAUUUGAAGUAUCAUUUAAAAUAAUUACUGUAACACUUUUUGUAACGUGAUAUAUGUGAGAUAAAAAAAUGAUUAAAAAUAUAAAAAAAUAGAUUGAAAAUGUAUUUAUGAUAUAAGCUAAAUAUUAUUUGAAAUAAUUACUGUAGUAUUAUUUUUUGUAAUGUGAUAUAUACAAAAUAAAAAAUAAUUAAAAAUAUAAAAAAAUAGAUUAAAAAUAUAUUUAUAAUAUAAAUUAAAUAUUAUUUAGAAUAAUUUGCUAUCUAAACACUCCCGUCUAUGUUGCAAGCAGCACAUCAUGUAGUGAUGCACAAAUACAUCUCUAAGAUCAAAUAGACAGUUGGAUUGACUUUUGAGUUUAACGAAUGGUACUUAUCAAUGCGCGUUCAUAAAUAAAUUCUACAGUCCCUUAAUACGGGUGAACACAUAAUUGGUUAAUUCGUUUAGAUUUCAAUUUUCUUGGCAUACCUAGGCAAAAAAAAAAAAAAAAAAAAAGAAAUUCUAGCAUCCUUGAUAUGAUUGUUUCCAAAAAAAAAAAAAAAAAAAAAAAUCCUUGGCAAGUUAGAAGAUUCAUUAUUGAUACUUCUCUCAUUAUAUAUAUAUAUAUAUAUAUUGAUGUAACUUCGUAUGAUGACUUUUCUAGGUCAAUCAUUCCAGUCUGUGACCGUGUACAUCUAUCUCCCUAGUGCUACGCCGACCAGGAAAAGAUUGACUAGUAUUUAAUACUAGUAAUAGCAAUAAAUCAAGAAAACUGGCUCCAUGGUUGAUUGCUGUGCUGCCAUGAGAUUCCUCAAAUUUCUCCUUACCUCUACGGUUCUAAUAAUCACCCUCCUCUCAACCUCCACUGAGGCGGCCACUUUUGAGAUCCAAAACAAUUGUCCCUACACAGUCUGGGCUGCAGCGAAACCUGGCGGUGGUCGAAGGCUAGACCGAGGCCAAACAUGGACCAUCAACGUGGCAGCCGGCACAGCCGGAGGUCGCGUUUGGGGUAGGACAAACUGCAACUUUGAUGGCAGUGGCCACGGCAGCUGUCAGACCGGUGACUGUGGUGGACUUCUUCAAUGCACUGCCUACGGUGCACCACCAAAUACUCUAGCAGAAUACGCACUGAACCAGUUCAAUAACCUGGACUUCUUCGACAUUUCCCUUGUUGAUGGCUUCAAUGUGCCGAUGGAGUUUAGUCGUCCAUCCACUGGAUGCACCGGCGGCAUCAGGUGCGCCGCCG
rnacentral:lncRNA from 1 species